UCCAAGUUGGUGUUUGCGUGAUUCAGAACUACUUCCUCUGUUCCUAAAUUCUUGUCAUUGUUUUAGUUCAAAUUUGUAUUAAAGCCACGACAAGAAUUUAGGAAUGGAGGGAGUAUGAGAUAUGCUACUCCCUUAGCUUUU